rnacentral:rRNA from 1 species
UACAGAGGGUGCAAGCGUUAAUCGGAACUACUGGGCGUAAAGCGCACGUAGCGGAUUGGUCAGUUAGGGGUGAAAUCCCAGAGCUCAACUCUGGAACUGCCCUUAAUACUGCCAGUCUAGAGUCCGGAAGAGGUAAGUGGAACUCCUAGUGUAGAGGUGGAAUUCGUAGAUAUUAGGAAGAACACCAGUGGCGAAGGCGGCUUACUGGUCCGGUACUGACGCUGAGGUGCGAAAGCGUGGGGAGCAAACAGG